UCAUUUAAAGAAAGCGUAAUAGCUCACUGGUCGAGUCGGCCUGCGCGGAAGAUGUAACGGGGCUAAACCAUGCACCGAAGCUGCGGCAGCGACACUGUGUGUUGUUGGGUAGGGGAGCGUUCUGUAAGCCUGUGAAGGUGGCCUGUGAGGGUUGCUGGAGGUAUCAGAAGUGCGAAUGCUGACAUAAGUAACGAUAAAGCGGGUGAAAAGCCCGCUCGCCGGAAGACCAAGGGUUCCUGUCCAACGUUAAUCGGGGCAGGGUGAGUCGACCCCUAAGGCGAGGCCGAAAGGCGUAGUCGAUGGGAAACGGGUUAAUAUUCCCGUACUUGGUGUUACUGCGAAGGGGGGACGGAGAAGGCUAUGUUGGCCGGGCGACGGUUGUCCCGGUUUAAGCGUGUAGGUGUGUGUUCCAGGUAAAUCCGGUUCACUUUAACACUGAGGCGUGACGACGAGGCACUACGGUGCUGAAGCAACAAAUGCCCUGCUUCCAGGAAAAGCCUCUAAGCAUCAGGUAACAUCAAAUCGUACCCCAAACCGACACAGGUGGUCAGGUAGAGAAUACCAAGGCGCUUGAGAGAACUCGGGUGAAGGAACUAGGCAAAAUGGUGCCGUAACUUCGGGAGAAGGCACGCUGACACGUAGGUGAAGUGAUUUACUCACGGAGCUGAAGUCAGUCGAAGAUACCAGCUGGCUGCAACUGUUUAUUAAAAACACAGCACUGUGCAAACACGAAAGUGGACGUAUACGGUGUGACGCCUGCCCGGUGCCGGAAGGUUAAUUGAUGGGGUCAGCGCAAGCGAAGCUCCUGAUCGAAGCCCCGGUAAACGGCGGCCGUAACUAUAACGGUCCUAAGGUAGCGAAAUUCCUUGUCGGGUAAGUUCCGACCUGCACGAAUGGCGUAAUGAUGGCCAGGCUGUCUCCACCCGAGACUCAGUGAAAUUGAACUCGCUGUGAAGAUGCAGUGUACCCGCGGCAAGACGGAAAGACCCCGUGAACCUUUACUAUAGCUUGACACUGAACAUUGAGCCUUGAUGUGUAGGAUAGGUGGGAGGCUUUGAAGCGUGGACGCCAGUCUGCGUGGAGCCGACCUUGAAAUACCACCCUUUAAUGUUUGAUGUUCUAACGUGGACCCGUGAUCCGGGUUGCGGACAGUGUCUGGUGGGUAGUUUGACUGGGGCGGUCUCCUCCUAAAGAGUAACGGAGGAGCACGAAGGUUGGCUAAUCCUGGUCGGACAUCAGGAGGUUAGUGCAAUGGCAUAAGCCAGCUUGACUGCGAGCGUGACGGCGCGAGCAGGUGCGAAAGCAGGUCAUAGUGAUCCGGUGGUUCUGAAUGGAAGGGCCAUCGCUCAACGGAUAAAAGGUACUCCGGGGAUAACAGGCUGAUACCGCCCAAGAGUUCAUAUCGACGGCGGUGUUUGGCACCUCGAUGUCGGCUCAUCACAUCCUGGGGCUGAAGUAGGUCCCAAGGGUAUGGCUGUUCGCCAUUUAAAGUGGUACGCGAGCUGGGUUUAGAACGUCGUGAGACAGUUCGGUCCCUAUCUGCCGUGGGCGCUGGAGAACUGAGGGGGGCUGCUCCUAGUACGAGAGGACCGGAGUGGACGCAUCACUGGUGUUCGGGUUGUCAUGCCAAUGGCACUGCCCGGUAGCUAAAUGCGGAAGAGAUAAGUGCUGAAAGCAUCUAAGCACGAAACUUGCCCCGAG
rnacentral:rRNA from 1 species